rfam:Peregrinibacteria bacterium GW2011_GWC2_33_13 TR30_C0012, whole genome shotgun sequence.
AAUAAGUUACUUAUAAAAGCAUAUAGUGGAUGCCUUGACCUAAAAUCUCGACGAAGGACGUGGCUAGCUGCGAUAAGUCUCGGUGAGCUGCUAAGCAAGCUUUGACCCGGGAAUUUCCGAAUGGGGUAACCCCUCCAAAUAAACUUUGGAGACUUCCCGCCUAGCGGGAGGGGAAAAGUUGGUGAACUGAAACAUCUCAGUAACCAGUGAAAAGAAAGCAAAAGCGAUUCCCUUAGUAGUGGCGAGCGAACGGGGAACAGUCUAAACCAUAAAGAUGCAAUUGGCUGCAGCCUUAGUCUUUAUGGGGUUGCAAGAUAUUAUUGUUGCAUUCCUGCAUGAAUGCUCAUUUUGGAUUAUUUAUUAGUCGAAUAAUUCUGGAAAGAAUAGCGAUACAGGGUAAUAGCCCCGUAGAUAAAAAUAAUUAAUCUCAAAUGUAUUUUAUCUUAAGUAGGGUCGGACACGAGAAAUCCGGCUUGAAUCCGGCAGGACCACCUGCCAAGACUAAAUAGAUUUUAGGAUCGAUAGUGAACUAGUACCGCGAGGGAAAGGUGAAAAGUACCCCUGUUAGGGGGAUGAAAUAGUAUCUGAAACUGUAUGCUUAAAAGGUGUCGGAGUCCCGCAUUGCGGGAUGACGGCGUACUUUUUGUAGAACGGGCCAACAAGUUAGCUGUAUGGGGUUUGGUUAAGGGAGUAACACCCGGAGCCAAAGUGAAAGCGAGGAUGAAUAAUCCGUUUUUCCCGCCUAGCGGGAAAAAAAUCUCAUGCACUAGACCCGAAACCGAGUGAGCUAUCCAUGGGCAGGUUGAACCUGUCGUAAAAGACGGGGGAGGACCGAACGCACCGUUGUUGUAAGAGCGGGCGAUGACCUGUGGAUAGAGGAGAAAUUCCAAUCGAACUCGGAGAUAGCUGGUUCUCUUCGAAAUAGCUUUAGGGCUAGCCUUGUGAAUAUUUUGCGAGGGGUAGAGCUCUGAAAAGGCUAGGGCCUUCAACAAGGUACCAAACCUUAUUAAACUUCCAAUACUCGUAAAAUUUAAACAGGAGUUAGACUGUGACAGCUAAGUGCCAUAGUCAAAAGGGAAACAGCCCAGAUUGUUAUCUAAGGUCCCAAAUUAAGUUUUAGUGGUAAAGGAGGUGGGAUUACAUAGACAACCAGGAGGUUGGCUUAGAGGCAGCCAUUCCUUUAAAGAGUGCGUAACAGCUCACUGGUCGAUUGUGAUCCUGCGCCGAAAAUCCAACGGGGCUAAAGCUUAAACCGAAGGUGCAAAUGUUCCGCUUUGCGGAGCGUGGUAGAAGAGCAUUCCUGUCAGCGUUGAAGUUUCGAUGUAAGUCGGGAUGGAGUGGCAGGAAGAGAGAAUGUUGGCAUAAGUAACGUUAGUCCGAUGAAAACUCGGACCACCGAAAGCCCAAGGUUUCCCAAGCAACGUCAAUCGACUUGGGGUUAGUCGGGCCUAAGGUCAACCCCGCUAAGCGGGGGCAGCCGAUGGAUAUCAGGUUAAUAUUCCUGAACAAUAUAUAUUUCGACCAAUCUGUGAUCAGUAAAAAUUUUUUUGAAUUGAUUGAAGUGAGUUUCUCAUUUCAUGAUAGGAUAAUUGAUUGGAGCUCUUCACGGGUAGCUAAGGGGGGACGCAACGGGAUAGUGAGAGCGUGUUAUUGAUUUCACGUGCAAUAAGUAAGUUUAUAUCCUAAUAAUGUAAAUCAGUUAGGAUUCGCGAGCUUAAAUGCAAAAUGCCCCGCAAUUGCGGGGUGAUUCUUGUGGCUUCUGUUGCCAAGAAAAUCCUCGUAGCGAGAAAUAUAUGUUUCCGUACCGCAAACCAACACCGGUGGGUAGGUUGAGUAUACUAAGGUGAUCGAGACAACUAUGCUUAAGGAACUCGGCAAAACAGCGUCCGUAACUUCGGAAUAAGGACUCCCAGCAUUGAUUUAUUAAUGUUGGGCGCAGCGAAAGAACUCGCGCAACUGUUUACCAAAAACACAGGUCUCUGCAAAACCGAAAGGUUAUGUAUAGGGGCUGACACCUGCCCAGUGCCAGAAGGUCACGAGGAGAAGUUCACGCUUUGAAUCUAAGCCCUGGUGAACGGCGGCCGUAACUAUAACGGUCCUAAGGUAGCGAAAUUCCUUGUCAGGUAAGUUCUGACCCGCACGAAUGGUGUAAUGGUGUGAGUACUGUCUCAAGCAUAGACUCGGUGAAAUUACAAUAUCGGUAAAAAUGCCGAUUAACUGCGGCAAGACGAAAAGACCCCGUGCAGCUUCACUACAGCUUGACAUUGGGUUAGGAUAUAUUAUGUGCAGGAUAGGUGGGAGGCGUUGAAGCUCUGACGCAAGUCGGGGUGGAGCCAUCCUUGAGAUACCACCCUUAAUAUAUUUUGACUCUAACCCCGCAUUGCGGGGGACAUUGUUUGGUGGGUAGUUUAACUGGGGCGGUUGCCUCCUAAAGAGUAACGGAGGCGCGCGAAGGUUCCCUAGGCCUGGAUGGAAAUCAGGUCGAUAGUGUAUUCGCAUAAGGGAGCUUGACUGCAAGACCUACAAGUCGAGCAGGCUCGAAAGAGGGCGAAAGUGAUCCGGUAUCUCCACGUGGGUGGGGUAUCGCUCAACGGAUAAAAGUUACGCCGGGGAUAACAGGCUUAUAGCGUCCAAUAGUUCACAUAGACGACGCUGUUUGGCACCUCGAUGUCGGCUCGUCGCAUCCUGGGGCUGGAGAAGGUCCCAAGGGUAUGGCUGUUCGCCAUUUAAAGCGGUACGCGAGCUGGGUUCAGAACGUCGUGAGACAGUUCGGCCUCUAUCUGUCGCAGUUGUAGGAAAUUUGAGAAGACCUGUCCCUAGUACGAGAGGACCGGGAUGGACGAACCUCUAGUGAAUCUGUUGUCUUAUCAAAGGCAUGGCAGAGUAGCUAUGUUCGGAAUGGAUAACCGCUGAAAGCAUCUAAGCGGGAAACCAACUUCAAGAAAAAUUUCCCCAUUAACCUGCUUGUAGAUUACGAGCUUGAUAGGGCAUAAGUGUAAGCCUUGUGAAAGGUUUAGCUGAGUGCUACUAAUAGGUGAUUGAACUUAUUUU